AUGUGUGGCCACACAAGGAAGGACCGAGUCCGGAAUGAUGAUAUACGAGAUAGAGUUGGGGUAGCACCAAUUGAAGAGAAGCUGGUCCAACAUCCUCUGAGAUGGUUUGGGCAUAUUCAGUACAGGCCUCCAGAAGCUUCAGUUUUUUUAGAAAAGGAUCCAGAAGCUUCAGUGCAUAGCGGACGGCUAAAGCGUGCUGAUAAUGUCAAAAGAGGCCGGGGUAGACCGAACUUGACAUGGGAGGAGUCCGUAAAGAGAGAUCUGAAGGACUGGAGUAUUACCAAAGAACUAGCCAUGGACAGGGGUGCGUGGAAGCUGCUAUCCAUGUGCCAGAACCAUGAGUUGGUCGGGUGUUAUGGCGCUGCUAGAAGGAGGGUGCGAGAGGGCUGGCUGGGGGCCUUUUGCCCACGGCCGGGCAAGAGGGAAGGGAUUUCCUUCUUAAUUCUUGCUUGA
rnacentral:rRNA from 1 species